rnacentral:rRNA from 1 species
CAGCAGUCGCCGCGGUAAUACGGAGGAUGCGAGCGUUAUCCGGAUUUAUUGGGUUUAAAGGGUGCGUAGGCGGCCUGUUAAGUCAGCGGUGAAAUCUAGGAGCUUAACUCCUAAAUUGCCAUAGAUACUGGCGGGCUUGAGUGUAGAUGAGGUAGGCGGAAUGCGUGGUGUAGCGGUGGAAUGCAUAGAUAUCACGCAGAACUCCGAUUGCGAAGGCAGCUCACUAAGGUACAACUGACGCUGAGGCACGAAAGCGUGGGUAUCAAACAGGAUUAGAUACCCCCGUAGUCCCUGUCUCUUAUAU